CUGAACUCUCGGCUCUUAUGACUGAGAAGCAGAUGUUUCUGACAUGGCUAAGGGACAGCUACUUACUCUGGUUCGGCCCACUUGAAGCUACCCUGAUGACAUAGGGUGGGGGAAAGCGGCAGGAGGACAGAUGGUCUCCCUCAUGGUGACUGAAAUAAAAGAGGGAAUUAGACGACUCCAAGGUGUACACUGUGACGGCAAUUACGGCAAAUAGAUUGGAAGUGGACCUCCAGGCACCCGGAGAGGCGGCCCCGGUGGGAAGGGCUCCACCUCACUACAUCUGAGUCUUUUUGGACACAUACAUCACUC